AAUCAAUACAGUAGGGCACAGUUCGACAUUGUUCAUUUUCUGAUAAACUUCCUGCUUUUUUAAAACCAAAAAUACAGAUUGAGCGAAAAGACGUGCGAACACCAAAAGAUGUGCCUAUUAUUAUCAGGAUGGACAACAGUUUAACCUUUUGAUAACGCAGUCAUGCCAAGGAAGAGAUUAGCAUGAAAUCAGCAGUGUUCAUCGUUGUCUUCGACACUAUGGUGACAACAAUUAAUACAUAUCUUCGAAAAUGCAUUUUGCCAAUCCUGGUGCAACCUGAGCUUACAAAGUUUAAAUCUUACUGUCAGUAUGGACAUUGUGUAGAUGAUAAUAUGGACAAUAUAUUGUGUUUCGAUUGACUUUUUUUUUGAACAGAUAAAGUGUUUUAUUCCAGACUUAACAUGUCAUUUUUAGCGAGGCUGUUUUCGGAGAAAACCCGAGCUAUUGUCAUAGCCAGCGCGUUCGCCGUCCACAGUAGGCGUCGUGCUUAAACCUUAGAAUUGGCUCUAAAAUUAAAGUGCUUCCACCUACAACUUUGAAACUUCAUGUGUAGAUGCAUCUUGAUGAGUUCUACACGCCCCCCCCCCCAUUUUUGGAUCACUAGGUCAAAGGUUAAGGUCAAUGUGACCUCUAAUAUCAAACUUUAACAUAGGUUCUAAAAUCAAAGUGCUUCCCCCUAUAUUUUUGAAACUUCAUAUGUAGUUGCACCUUAAUGAGUUCUACAUGCCACACCCAUUUUUAGGUCACUAGGUCAAAGGUCAAGGUCACUCUGACCUCUUAUAUCAAACUUUAACAUAGGUUCUAAAAUCAAAGUGCUUCCACCUACAACUUUGAAACUUCAUAUGUAGAUGCACCUUGAUGAGUCAUACACGCCACACCCAUAUGGGUCACUAGGUCAAAGGUCAAGGUCACUUUGACCUCUAAAAGAAUGAUGACAAGAUUUCGCAGCCGAGCGUGGCACGCGUUAUGCGGUGCUUUUGUUCAUCAAGGAAUAACAAAAAUACAAUUUUAUUGAUAUGCACGAAUUUGUAGUAAAUAAUAUUAACAAUGUGUAUCUUAUGUUUUUUUUUUAACUGUCUGUCAUCCAUAAGUAAACAUAUUAAGCAUGUUAAGUAUGUUUAGGGAAUAUAAUGUAUACAUUUUUGUUGUUUCUGCAAACUUAGUCAGAUAGAUGAAAAUCUGUUGUAGUUCAUAUUGACAUCAAGAUAUGUGAUGUUAAUAUUUGUAGUCAUAUUAUGUAUACAUGUAUAUUAUUUUUACCGGUAAACAAAAAUUAAGAAGUGUAACGUUCAAUCUAUGAAGUUGUGUGCCAAAUAUGUCUUGCUGAUUGCAAUAAUUUUGUUUAAGUUAAAUAUCUUGUUUUUGAACCUCUACCUGUGAAAUGAGUGAAUUUUGUUUUCUAUCUACACUUAUACUAAGUUUAAUUAUAUAUUAACUAUAAAUAUAUUGUUGAUAACACAUUGCAUGUAUAUGCAAUUGAAAAUGUACUGUUUCCAUAGCAACUGUAAAGUAACUAAAUUAAAUUUGUCUAAUUAAUUUUAUCAAUUGUUGAAUAAACUAGAAUUGCUAAUAAAAAAAAAUGUCUGACAGUAUAAAUACACAACACAAAUUGUAUCAUGAGCCGUCAUUUAUUUUAGUUUCAAAUUUGUAGCUAUACAAACUGGUCAAAUGCUGAAUACACACCUAUUUCAAGAAAAUGUGCAAACAUUUUUUUUAUAAACAUAUUUAUGAUGUUCCAUACCUGUCUAGGGAUUUUUAUUUUAUUUUGCUGUUAUGAUUUUGUCUUAAAUUCUUUAAAAUGGUAAUAAAUAUUUUGCUGUUA